rnacentral:rRNA from 1 species
UACAGAGGUCUCAAGCGUUGUUCGGAUUCAUUGGGCGUAAAGGGUGCGUAGGUGGCGUGGUAAGUCGGGUGUGAAAUUUCGGAGCUUAACUCCGAAACUGCAUUCGAUACUGCUGUGCUUGAGGACUGGAGAGGAGACUGGAAUUUACGGUGUAGCAGUGAAAUGCGUAGAUAUCGGGAGGAACACCUGUGGCGAAAGCGGCUCACUGGACCAUUACUGACGCUGAUGCACGAAAGCUAGGGGAGCAAACAGG